rnacentral:rRNA from 1 species
CCUACGGGAGGCAGCAGUGAGGAAUAUUGGUCAAUGGGCGCAAGCCUGAACCAGCCAAGUCGCGUGAGGGAUGACGGUCCUAUGGAUUGUAAACCUCUUUUGUCGGGGAGCAAGGCCCGCCACGUGUGGCGGGAAGGAGAGUACCAGAAGAAAAAGCAUCGGCUAACUCCGUGCCAGCAGCCGCGGUAAUACGGAGGAUGCGCGCGUUACCCGGAUUUAUUGGGUUUAAAGGGUGCGUAGGCGGAAGGUUAAGUCAGCGGUAAAAUGUCGGUGCUCAACACCUGCCUGCCGUUGAAACUGGUCUUCUUGAGUGAGCGAGAAGUAUGCGGAAUGCGUGGUGUAGCGGUGAAAUGCAUAGAUAUCACGCAGAACUCCGAUUGCGAAGGCAGCAUACCGGCGCUCAACUGACGCUGAGGCACGAAAGCGUGGGGAUCGAACAGGAUUAGAUACCCUAGUAGUC